AUCCCAAGGGAACGUAUACCGCUACGUUGCCGUAUCUGCUACGGUUGAAUUCUAAAGCCUCUGGACUAUCGUUAUAUGUACGUAAUGCGCUGAAAAUCGACUGAUGUCUACAGUAUUAGGCAUUGCCUGGUAAUUGCACACAUAGGCGGAUUUAUUGUACAGCAACCAAACCCUAUACAAAGGCUUCAUAUCGAACCAUAUCGAGUAAAUAAUGUUAAAUAAGUGAUUUAUACGCAACGACAUGUUUAAUUCGACUGCCUGAUCUUAUUAAUAACAUGAAAGGUCUUGUCUGGUUGGACCAUGAAGUUGAAAAGGGUCACAACACAUGCGUGCGUUUUUGCUAGUGCCACGACGAGAUCACGAUCAGAUUAUCAGGCUAACCAAAGAAGUCGAUCAUAAUAUUGGCUGUCGUCGUUCGUGGUUGCUUCAAAUAAACGUCAGCUAAAAUAUGGAAUGACUUGCUCCUUCUGCAAGUCGGGCAGUGCAUCAACUGUUACCGACAUUCGGAUGAAAAUGCUCACAAUGGCUGUUAUUUGAGAAGCUAUUUCGCGAUGCCAGGUUUCUUAUAAUUGUUACUUUAUGCGUUACAUUUCUUGUAAUUGUUACUUCAACUUUAAAUUUUAGCUGUAUGUCACUCUUGUUAUUAUCGUUUUUACUCAAGUAUGCAAUGCGUGUAUGUAUAUUUGAUAUAUUUUUGUGUGUUUUAACAAUCACAGGCUAUAGCAGAAUAUCAACGAGGGCAAUGUGCUUCAUAUAAGUAGCCUUCUGUAGCUGAGUCAUAAAC